UUACCUACGGGACGCAGCAGUGAGGAAUAUUGGUCAAUGGGCGAGAGCCUGAACCAGCCAAGUCGCGUGAAGGAUGACGGCCCUACGGGUUGUAAACUUCUUUUGUCAGGGAGCAAUUGGGUCCACGCGUGGGCUUAGCGAGAGUACCUGAAGAAAAAGCAUCGGCUAACUCCGUGCCAGCAGCCGCGGUAAUACGUAGGAUCCGAGCAUUAUCCGGAGUGACUGGGUGUAAAGAGUUGCGUAGGUGGCAUAAUAAGUAGCUAGUGAAAUCUGGUGGCUCAACCAUUCAGACUAUUAGCUAAACU
rnacentral:rRNA from 1 species